rnacentral:tRNA from 1 species
UAUAAGAUAAGCUAAAACAAGCUGUUAGGUUCAUACCCUAAAAAUGAGCUCAGCUCUCUUAUAG